rnacentral:rRNA from 1 species
ACUUCUACGGGAGGCAGCAGUGGGGAAUAUUGCACAAUGGGGAAACCCUGAUGCAGCCAUGCCGCGUGUGUGAAGAAGGCCUCGGUUGUAAAGCACUUCAGUAGGGAGGAAGGUAGUGUAGUUAACACCUGCACUAUUUGACGUUACCUACAGAAGAAGCACCGGCUAACUCCGUGCCAGCAGCCGCGGUAAUACGGAGGGUGCGAGCGUUAAUCGGAAUUACUGGGCGUAAAGCGCAUGCAGGCGGCCUGUUAAGUCAGAUGUGAAAGCCCGGGGGCUUAACCUCGGAAUUGCAUUUGAAACUGGCAGGCUAGAGUCUUGUAGAGGGGGUAGAAUUUCAGGUGUAGCGGUGAAAUGCGUAGAGAUCUGAAGGAAUACCAGUGGCGAAGGCGGCCCCCUGGACAAAGACUGACGCUCAGAUGCGAAAGCGUGGGGAGCGAAACAGGAUUAGAUACCCUGGUAGCACAGAG